AUUGAACGCUGGCGGCAUGCCUUACACAUGCAAGUCGAACGGCAGCACGGGAGCAAUCCUGGUGGCGAGUGGCGAACGGGUGAGUAAAGUAUCGGAACGUGCCCAGUCGUGGGGGAUAACGUAGCGAAAGUUACGCUAAUACCGCAUACGAUCUAUGGAUGAAAGCGGGGGAUCGCAAGACCUCGCGCGAUUGGAGCGGCCGAUAUCAGAGUAGGUAGUUGGUGGGGUAAAGGCUCACCAAGCCGACGAUCUGUAGCUGGUCUGAGAGGACGACCAGCCACACUGGGACUGAGACACGGCCCAGACUCCUACGGGAGGCAGCAGUGGGGAAUUUUGGACAAUGGGCGAAAGCCUGAUCCAGCCAUGCCGCGUGCAGGGUGAAGGCCUUCGGGUCGUAAACUGCUUUUGUACGGAACGAAAAGGUUUGGCCUAAUAAGCUGAGCUCAUGACGGUACCGUAAGAAUAAGCACCGGCUAACUACGUGCCAGCCGCCGCGGUAA
rnacentral:rRNA from 1 species